CAGUCGCCACGGGAAUACGGAGGGUGCAAGCGUUAAUCGGAAUUACUGGGCGUAAAGCGCACGCAGGCGGUCUGACAAGUCAGAUGUGAAAUCCCCGGGCUUAACCUGGGAACUGCAUUUGAAACUGUCAGGCUGGAGUCUUGUAGAGGGGGGUAGAAUUCCAGGUGUAGCGGUGAAAUGCGUAGAGAUCUGGAGGAAUACCGGUGGCGAAGGCGGCCCCCUGGACAAAGACUGACGCUCAGGUGCGAAAGCGUGGGGAGCAAACAGGAUUAGAUACCCCAGUAGUCCCUGUCUCUUUAUA
rnacentral:rRNA from 1 species